rnacentral:lncRNA from 1 species
UCCUGACCGGUGCUUGAAGCCCCAACCACCAUUUUGCCGGUCACUGGAACCUUACUCCAUGUUUAACAACCGGGGGUGGUCCUUUCUUUCCUCCUCCUCUCUUGUUAUCAAACCCAAACUCAAUGUCUCCUCCGUUUCGACCAGAUGGUUUGCUCAUAGGACCAGAAGGUUUGCUCAUUGGACCAGGACGCUUUAUAUCAAACCCAAACUCCAAAUCAUCACCUCUCUCUCUUGGCUCACGCUCCACAGGUCUGAUCUCACGGCUCUUCUUUGACGACGGCUUCUCAUGCUUUGAGGGUUUGUUUUUGUUUUUGUGAUCUUUGGAACCGCGGUUGCAUAGCCUUCCAAACACACAAGCCAGUGCUGCUAAGAUAAGGAUCGCAGCUAUAACUAUGAAAGCUGUACCGAAUGAGCCACUUGAACCAGAUGACGAAGGUGGCACAUAAGAGGAAGGUGUUGAAGUAGAAGAAGAUGGAUACACAACCAGAGGUUGCUGGAACUGUUGUUGUUGUUGCUGCUGCUGUUGUUGAUCUUCCAUUUUUUGUUGUUUUUGGGCUUGGUUUUGAUUGUGAGAUUUUGGGAGCUCUGUGAUGUUGAAGAGCACUUCAAUUUAUGUCAUUUCCAUCUGAAAUGACCAAUGUAUUAAUAGUGCUAACACUCUUCUCUAUCAUCAUUCUCCAUAAAUAAAGUUUAUUCAAGGCAUGGUGUUUUUUCUUGAAAUAAAGUUACAUAUUGCUUUAAUAAAAAAGUAAUGUGGGUUUGUUUUUUAUUGUUUGUCAUCAACAAUGUGAAUUUAUUUAAAGAGAUGCACUUUCGAACAUUUUCUGAUUGCUUUGUUAGAAGAGAAAGUGAGAAUUUGGUUAAGUUUUUUUGAGAUGAGACACACAACUCAUUGUUUCCAAUAAAGAUGAAUCUAAAGAUAUGAUGAGUGGGCAUGCUGCUUUACCAAUCAUCACCUCUUUCACUAUUUUUCAGUCUCAAAUUUUCAAUCCCAUAGUGCUUGUAUGUAUCUUGUGUAUUCUUUACUAAAAUAAAUUUUGAUUUUUAUAAAGCUGGCCUCAAUAUCAGGAUUGAAAUCAUCAGAUUUUUCAUUUUCAAAUAAAAGUGGGAAUAUGGAUCCACUAAUCUUGCAUAAAAUACUUGUACACCAUCAAGUCUACUUUAGUAUUAAGAGGUCACUUUUCUUGUGGAUUUCUAAUUAGCAUUUAUUUACUUUAGUUUUGUAGGUUUAGAGUGGGGUUCCACAAGAGAGGAUGUUAUUGGAAUGUAUUCAACAUAGGGAUUAGUGCAAAACACAUUUUGAGUUCUUUCACGCAAAUAUCUGUUUUCAUCUUUUCCUUUUCAUAUUAUUUUCAAACUUUUUGUCUCCUUGAAUGUCCUUUUCUUCCCAAGAUAAUGUUGAAAGUUGAAAUGUUCACAGUGACAUUUUCUUAUCAAUCACAAUGGCCUAAUGUGAUCAUCUUUAGAUUUUAAAUUUUUGAUUCUUUAUUUGCUUUUCUUUUUUUUACGAAGAAAGAAAAAUAUUCCUUGUGUGAUAACUCCUGAUAAGGCCUUCAUGUCUCGUAAUGGACCAAAUUCAGUACUCAUUAUAAUGGGUCACUAAUUGAUAAAUCCUUCUUCCUUCACUAAUAGAGACAUUCUUGAUAGUUUGUUAUUGAUUUUUUGUUAGAGCAUUUGUCUAUUUUUUGCUCUUGUUUCCCUUCUAUGUUUACAUUUUGUUUUGUAUAUUAAGCAUAUACAAAAGAAGCCGAUAUAAUGUUUCUGAAUCAUUAAUACUUUUUUGAGAAAAUCAAAGAAACAAUUUGGUCCAAGUUAAUGAAAUAAGAUAAGUUAUGUCCGAAAGUAACGAAAAACAGAGAAACUAAAGUAAUUUCAUUCACCAUAGAGCAAAGGAGCCAUCACUACGCAGUGAUGAUGUUUUCGCCAAAACGGCAUACAUCUUCAAUAGUUUGUUAUUGAAUUUAUUUCUAUUUUAUUUUCUUUACCAAUAAUGAAUUGUUUAUUGAAAUUUUAUGUGU